GACGAACGCUGGCGGCGUGCUUAACACAUGCAAGUCGAACGGAAAGGCCCUGCGUUUGUGGGGUGCUCGAGUGGCGAACGGGUGAGUAACACGUGAGUAACCUGCCCUUGACUGUGGGAUAACUUCAGGAAACUGGGGCUAAUACCGGAUAGGAGCUCCGGCUGCAUGGUGGGGGUUGGAAAGUUUCGGCGGUUGGGGAUGGACUCGCGGCUUAUCAGCGUGUUGGUGGGGUAGUGGCUUACCAAGGCUUUGACGGGUAGCCGGCCUGAGAGGGUGACCGGCCCCAUUGGGACUGAGAUACGGCCCAGACUCCUACGGGAGGCAGCAGUGGGGAAUAUUGCACAAUGGGCGGAAGCCUGAUGCAGCAACGCCGCGUGCGGGAUGACGGCCUUCGGGUUGUAACCCGCUUUCGCCUGUGACGAAGCGUGAGUGACGGUAAUGGGUAAAGAAGCACCGGCUAACUACGUG
rnacentral:rRNA from 1 species